GACAGGGGUCCAGGCUGCAGCGGAUGGCUCUCCAUGACCUCUGCUGUGAGGGGCAGGAGCAGCAGAGGUCUCUGCUGAGAAGGCAAGUCCAGCUGUCAGAGGCCUACAGGUCAUUUGGCUUUACUGUGGAAGCCUGGAACCUCCCCUCCAUGAGGCAAACUCAUCCACCAGUCCACCCUGACCCAUCCAACUACCUGCCAAACACAGAAGGAGCGGAUUGAACUGAGCUUCGGAGAUGGGGUGUCACUCUGCUGCCUCACAUGUGGCAGGUGCGGAAUACUACUCGGUCAUCGGGGGCGACAAAGUCCACUGUGCUGAGCACUUCUGCAAGAAAACACAAACACACAGGCCCACUCACUGAAGAAGCAAGUUCAACCUAGCCUAAUCUCUGCAAGAAAACACAGCAAAAGUCUCAGCUUAAAGGG